GAGUAACACGUAUCCAACCUGCCGUCUACUCUUGGACAGCCUUCUGAAAGAAAGAUUAAUACAAGAUGGCAUCAUGAGUCCGCAUGUUCACAUGAUUAAAGGUAUUCCGGUAGACGAUGGGGAUGCGUUCCAUUAGAUAGUAGGCGGGGUAACGGCCCACCUAGUCUUCGAUGGAUAGGGGUUCUGAGAGGAAGGUCCCCCACAUUGGAACUGAGACACGGUCCAAACUCCUACGGGAGGCAGCAUG
rnacentral:rRNA from 1 species